ensembl:lncRNA
GUUUUUUUCCUUCACAUUUCUGUGUAACCAGAAGGACUUAAAGGUGGAUAGGAAGGCCUUUCUGGCCAACUUUCAUGAGGCUGUGCCAUGUGGGAACUGGGUAGUAGAAGCUGUUUGGGAAGCUGGCAAAUGGAUGGAGAAGCAUGAGAACAUUGAGGCAGCCAAGGGUGGUUAAGACAACCCAGGACUCAUGCAAGAGAAUAGAUUUUAGGAGAGCUGUGAUGAGUAGAGGGUGUGAUUUAGAUUCACUAUGGGCUGGAGAGCCUAUGAACAGGACAAACUGAGCAGUUGCCUCUCAACACCUUUACUGCAUCUACCCACUGAGUCAGUGCAUUCUUCUUGCCUGUUGGAGUUGUCGUGGAAACAUUAUCACGUGAAGUGUUUGUGAUGCCAUGCUCCGUGCCUGGAGAAGGAUCAAAUAAGUGGAUAGAGGUGAAUCCACAGCUAACUUCUGAAACAGAGAUAUGAGCCCUGACAGGACCUUCUCCCUCACAGCUCUGCGUGGUGGACCUCCCAGAGUGCUCUGCCUGGCGCACUGCUGACUCUAUUCUGUGUUCUUGACUGUUCCCUCCUGGGUGGGGGUUAAUCAAUGUACAUUCAUCAUUAAUUUAUGCAUGUAAGGGGCUUUGGAGCACAGUCGUCAUGCUGGUUUUGAUAACGCUAACUCUAUCCACCCUGCCAGCUGCUGUGAUGUCGUGGUAGUCUGUGUUGCUGCAUGCAGAAUUAUGGUGCUUUUGUGGGAAUAUUAUGUUCCUUGAAUAGAGCCCCACAGAGCAAUUUGCUUCAUCCUUACAAACCCAUCCAAAUAACUGGCAGUGCCUUACAAAUACAAAACAAUCGAGAAAAUAAAUGUAUUAUACUGUACAUCUGUGACAAAACAAUGCUUUCAUGUGCAAAGAGAAAUGUGUUUGUUUAACUUACGGUUUCCCAUUUGGAAAUAAAUGCAUUCAUUUAAAUUAAAAUGGGACGUUCUUCACUAUUACAGAAUUUUGCAUGCCAG